rnacentral:lncRNA from 1 species
GUGUUCUCUCUGAAUGAUGGAAUUAUCGUAUAUCAUAUGAUGACUCUAUUGUAGUAUCUGAUGAUGGUUGGAUUGAUCGAGCUAUCUUCAAAUCUGAUCAUUCAUUAGUUAAAAAUACUGAGUAGGUUCAUGUUAAUGGUUGACCUAAUCAAAACAUUCAAUGGAGGCCCAUCGCCUACUGAAAUAAAAUCUGAGAUAAA